rnacentral:lncRNA from 1 species
UUUAACUCACCAAAUUUCCGGCUCCCUCCAUGCCAUCAGAUGUGCCAAAUAAGAAAAACAACAUCAUGAUGCUACUGUCGAGAAGAACUAACAAUCUUAUCCUUUGUCAAGACUUGUCAAGAAGAAAGACGUUCCAAGCUUGUAUUAUUAGUUCUGACAUGUAUUAUUAUUUCUUUCUAAAAUUCCUUUAAAUGGUACAUUGGUUAUACCAAGUGGUAGUUUAGAUACUUAUGAAAACAAUGCUCAUGGCUUCUUGACGGAUAAUUAUUAAUGACAUUAUUUAACAACACAUUUACAAAAAAAAACCUCCUAAUCAAUGAAAUCA